GGAGGGGUCGCAUAGUGGCCGAGUGCGUACGCUUGGAAAGCGUAUAUGCCGCAAGGUAUCGCGGGUUCGAAUCCCGCCCCCUCCG
rnacentral:tRNA from 1 species